ACACAGGCCCCGGCCGCUAGGAGGCAUUGUUGGAGCCCCCAGGGUCUGAGGUGAGAGGAAGGAUCCCCGCCGGGUGUCUUGCUGCCUCUGGCACCUGACCUGUUCCAGACAAAGCCACCUUCCGCUCAGAAGUCUUUUCCUGUCCUCUCCCAGGCAUAGCUGCGGCAUCCCCUGCUCCGCCUGGCCCGAGUGUCAGGCCCUCGUGUCUGUGAGUUCUGGUGGCACUCUGUACCUGCCCGCCCCGUCCUCCCCAGGGCUCGUCCUCCCCAGGGCUCUUCCUCCCGGGCGGGUGGCUGCUGUCCCGGAGACCGUGGCCCCUGCAGGGGCGCAGAGUCCCUUGAAGGCAAGGACAGAGUCUCCUCGGCUCUGUAAGCCCGGUGCCCGGUGGUUGCUCUGGAAAAGUGGCCUCGGCAGAGGCCUGCUCUCUCUCCCAGGGGGCUGCGCGUCCUCUCUCCUUCCAGAAGCCCGAGGACACAGGACUGCUGGCCAUGAGGCCGCUUUGGACGCGGGGUUCGCCUAGACGCUCUGAAUUGGAAGCGCCCCAGAGGUCGGGGAGUGUCCUACCCGCUGCGGGCCCCUGGGCCACUCCCAACCCGCGACGUGGGGCGGCGGCCCCCGAGGAGGAGGUGGCCUUGGGUCCAGCUCUGGGGCCUUGAGGAAGGGCCCCUUCUGGUCUGUGUAAGUGACUGGGGCGCCGCCCGGCUUGCGUUGCGCAUUGCCCCCCCGCAGGACCGACCACGGGCGGCCGCGCAGCCUUGUGUCCUCUGCCCCAGCUCUCCCUGCGGGUCACCGUGACGCUGCGACGCUCAGGAAGAGAGGCUGUGAAGGGUCAGGAGCAGAGGACACUCCUCAGGGACACCCCGAGGCCAGGCGUCCCCAGCUGGGGUGUAUGUCCCCUGCUUUUGCUGUGCCUCUUUCCUUUAGUCCCUGGAGCUCACGCAGUGUCACCGUCCUGCCUGGGACUUUUCACGUAAGUUAAAUGCCAUCCCAGGUUCUGGAAGAUUCCUCAGAAAUCAUGGCGGGAAGCCCUGCUCCUCCUUCUGGCAGAUAUUGAUUCCAGGCGCUCUGGGCUCAAUACCAGCUGUCGCGGCCCCGGGAGUGGCCCGUCCUACCUGGGACCUGCGGCCCCUCUGCUCAGAAGCUGCAGCGCAGGGGGGGCCUCCUGAAGCCGAGACGGGGCUUUGGGCGCUCCCACCGCAGUGUCACUUGGACGCUGUGCCCGGCAGCCCCCUGCGCUCUGGUUGUCCAGUUUCCCAGCGUUGUGUCACCCAGUGCGUGGCCCGAGGUCCCUUUGGGAAGGGCUGGGGCCACUGCAGUGUCUACUUGCCUCGGUGGUGCCGCGUCCUUCUCCCUGGGGACCCGGCCACAUCCCCGGGCCCCAGUUCCGGUAUCUGAAAACCGGCUCGGGACAGGACCUGGGCAAGGGGUCAGGACCUGUUUAUGGGGGUGGCUGCCCUCGGCCUCCUGCUGUCCCGGCUCUUUCGAGUGUCCAUUUUAGACAGUCCCCUGGCCGCUUGCCUGUCCUUCCCACCCCCGAAGGCCGUGCCGUAGCGCCCACCCCCCGCUCUGUGGCCAGCAUCAGAGCUCCCGGUCAGCAGUGGCCAUCGUCAUCGUCCCCGGCUUGGCGGGCAGGCCCUCUGCCGCGGUUCCUGGGUGGCGGGGUGGGGGGUCCUCUCCUCCCUUCCCAGGCUCGGCGCCCCGCCCUCUUGGCCGGAGACUUGGCUCGGCCUGGCGGCCUGGCGGCCGGCUGCCCACCUCUUCCCGUCGUCCUGGACUCCGCUGCCUGCCGUGCUGAGGUCCCACAGCACAUGGGGGGGGUCCCCCUGUUUCCCGGACAGGGCACACCCGUGGGGAAGACCCGGGUCCCGUUUGGCUCCCUUGGGGGGAGGGAGGUGGGUGCAGUAGCUCCUUGUGGGGCGGGGGGAGCUGCGGGCCCAGAAGUUUCAGAGACACCAGGGGUCCGUCCGAUGCAGGGCCUCCCAGUCUCCCUGUCCCUGGUGUCGGGGGUGCGGGUUUUCCCGGGUGGGCUUUGGGCGCUGGUGUGACUGACCUGCUGGUGGGAGGUUCGGCCCCUCCUGUCGAACCCCGCGGGGACGUUUGUGGGCUGCCUGAGCCGGGGCUCCCCCGGGCUCUGACUCUGCCCUCUGCCCUAAGCUUCCCAUCCCCCUGCGGUCAGCAGAGCCCAGAAGUCCCCCUCGUCUGUUCACCCCCAUGCUCCGCACGCCUGGAUCUUCUCCCCCAGCAGGAAAUUCCUCUCCACCUGCCGGCCCAGCAAAGGCUCCAGCGUGAACGUUCCAGCAGCCGGACUCUGGCCUUGCACCCGGGGCUGGGUCUUUGUUGAGAGCAGGGCAGGUGAUGCCAGUCCCAAACCCAGAGCCCACCUUAGCGGCUGCUGUCUGGACCAGGGCAGAGCGCGACGGCUCAGGCUGGGCCGCUCGGGAAGCUGAUCCCGGGAGGGGGUUGGCGGUGCCACAGGCUGCCUGGGGGGAAUGGGGCAGGCUGUGCCUUCAGCCUGCUGUGUCGCCCUCACAGUUUCUGCCAGCCCGUCUGGGAGCUGCAGGGCAGGGACGGGCAUUAGAGGUCCCCGCCAUGGGCCCCGGCGGUCAGGCCUCGCUGUGCCCAAGGCCUCGCGACCCACAUCGACCGGCCGGCCGGCCGGGAGAACCAGCAUCCGGAACUGGUGCCCGAGGCGUGGCUCUGUGCUGAGUAGGCACGCGGGGCACCAGCUGCCUCGGUCCCGGCGGCUCCGCGCUCUGCCCUGCUGUGGGCCUGGUGGCAGAACUCAUAAAUCACCCAUUUGCUGAAUCAGUGAUUUGACUUUUGUGGGCCUCCUGUGCACCAGGCAGUGGCUAGACAAGAGAGGUGCCCAGGCCACCUCCUCCUGGCGUCUCCUCAGCUUUCCAAUUCUUGUUCUUGACUUCAGAAAGAACUUUGGUGAGGUGAUGGGCCUGCCUCCGAGUACCAGGAGUACCAGGUUCUGACUGAUGAUGGCAAUGAACUGUCCAUCUCGAGUCACCUCGCACUCAUCAGCUGUUCACCAUGACAUGGUGCUGUGCCACUCUGGCCUUGGCAGAUGGAAGAGACAUGCCCGCCCGGAGUCAACCUGUGCAGUUUGGGUGAGGAGGCAGCAAAACUCAAACACUCCUCGGUUUUCUUCUCAAGAACUCAGCCGUCGGCACUCGCAGUAAAUGACAGGAGCCAGGUCCUUCUUUGGAGAUGGAGAGCUCCAUGCUGAGGAACCUACUGGGGAAGAGGGACUCCCUUGAGAAUAAAAUCCACUCUGCUAAUUAUCACGCUUUCUGCCACAGUGCCACAGACACCCUUGACUGCACGUUCCACAGCUGUGCCGAACGUUUCAAGAGAAAAUUAGCUUGUGUCUUCUGCAAAGCCUUCCUCCUGGAGGCUCUCCGGAAUGGGGGAUAGGGCUGCAGAAACCUAUCUUCUUCUCACAGCCCCUGUAUCCCCACAAAAGAGGAGGGUUUGGCUCUUAGCCCUACUCUUCACCAGCUGCAUGACUUUGGGCCACGGACUCAGCUCUCUGCGUAAAGUCUCUCAUCUCCGGAAUCAUCCUAACAACGCUGGCUUCACUGCUGCUUGGAGAAGUUUAAUCUCUUCAAAACAGCUGCAAUAAAAAGAAUGCUGUUGGAAAGAAUUUGCCGAAUCGUGAAUGCGAACCAGUCCUAGACUCCCACCCCUGCCUCAGAAGCAGCUCCUCUGCUCACGAGCCAAAGCCGCCCGGAAGUCCCUUCCCGGGGUCAGUGCCGCUUGGGUGUCGGAUGCCCACCUGCCCAAGCUUGGCGGUCUCCACAUUAGGACCCGUGAAACGUCAAAACUACAAAGCAUUUGGGAAGUGGUGGACUAGUCAGAACCAGGACAAGCCUUAGGAUGAUCCCGGAUCCAGGGCAGGCUUUUUACCGGGCUUGGGGAUGAUCCUCGCGGCCUUUGGUGCUGACCUGAUGUUUUCCCACUGCUCAAGAGGUGAGAAAAUGUAUGUACGCUGGGACGGUGAGUAUCUGCAUUUGGCUGGAGCACACAGCCAGCAUGGCAGAACGUGUUGUUUCGAACAGUUGGUUGGGGCCACAUUUUUAAGGACCUUGAAGACUUUACUGAGGCGUUCCAUUGUUUUGGAUAGGCAGUUUGGAAGCCGUGAAGAUUGUGAAA
rnacentral:lncRNA from 9 species